GUGUCAGCCGCCGCGGUAAUACGUAGGGUGCGAGCGUUAAUCGGAAUUACUGGGCGUAAAGCGUGCGCAGGCGGUGAGUUAAGUCUGCUGUGAAAGCCCCGGGCUCAACCUGGGAACGGCAGUGGAAACUGGCUCGCUGGAGUAUGGCAGAGGGGGGUGGAAUUCCGCGUGUAGCAGUGAAAUGCGUAGAGAUGCGGAGGAACACCGAUGGCGAAGGCAGCCCCCUGGGCCAAUACUGACGCUCAGGCACGAAAGCGUGGGGAGCAAACAGGAUUAGAUACCCCCGUAGUCC
rnacentral:rRNA from 1 species